rnacentral:rRNA from 1 species
AUUGAACGCUGGCGGCAGGCUUAACACAUGCAAGUCGAGCGGGGCGUUGGUGCUUGCACUAUCACUUAGCGGCGGACGGGUGAGUAAUGCUUAGGAAUCUGCCUAUUAGUGGGGGACAACAUCUCGAAAGGGAUGCUAAUACCGCAUACGUCCUACGGGAGAAAGCAGGGGAUCACUUGUGACCUUGCGCUAAUAGAUGAGCCUAAGUCGGAUUAGCUAGUUGGUGGGGUAAAGGCCUACCAAGGCGACGAUCUGUAGCGGGUCUGAGAGGAUGCACCGCCACACUGGGACUGAGACACGGCCCAGACUCCUACGGGAGGGAGCAGUGGGGAAUAUUGGACAGUGGGGUGAACCCUGAUCCAGCCAUGCCGCGUGUGUGAAGAAGGCCUUAUGGUUGUAAAGCACUUUAAGCGAGGAGGAGGCUCUUUUGGUUAAUACCCAAGAUGAGUGGACGUUACUCGCAGAAUAAGCACCGGCUAACUCUGUGCCAGCCGCCGCAGUAA